rnacentral:rRNA from 1 species
CAGCCGCGGUAAUUCCAGCUCCAAUAGCGUAUAUUAAAGUUGUUGCAGUUAAAAAGCUCGUAGUUGAACUUCGGGGUUUACCCAUUGGUCAGGCUUAAUUGUCUGUACUGGUGAGAUAAAUCUCUACCUUCUGAGGAACUUUCAUGUCAUUAAUUUGGUGUGAUUGGAAAUCAGGACUGUUACUUUGAAAAAAUUAGAGUGUUUAAAGCAGGCUAACGUCUGAAUACAUUAGCAUGGAAUAAUGAAAUAGGACGGAUUGAUUCUAUUUCGUUGGUUUCUAGGAUCACCGUAAUGAUUAAUAGGGAUAGUUGGGGGCAUUAGUAUUCAAUUGUCAGAGGUGAAAUUCUUGGAUUUAUUGAAGACUAACUACUGCGAAAGCAUUUGCCAAGGAUGUUUUCAUUAAUCAAGAACGAAAGUUAGGGAUCGAAGACGAUCAGAUACCGUCGUAGUCUUAACCAUAAACUAUGCCGACUAGGGAUCGGAUGAUGUUAAUUUAUAAUGACUCAUUCGGCACCUUACGGGAAAC